UACGGGGGGAGCAAGCGUUGUUCGGAAUUACUGGGCGUAAAGGGCGCGUAGGCGGUUCGAUAAGUCAGCUGUGAAAACCAUGGGCUUAACUCAUGGCCUGCAGUUGAGACUGUCGGGCUGGAGUGUGGGAGAGGAGAGUGGAAUUCCUGGUGUAGCGGUGAAAUGCGUAGAUAUCAGGAGGAACACCGGUGGCGAAGGCGGCUCUCUGGACCACAACUGACGCUGAGGCGCGAAAGCUAGGGGAGCAAACAGG
rnacentral:rRNA from 1 species